rnacentral:rRNA from 1 species
AUACGUAGGGGGCGAGCGUUGUCCGGAAUGACUGGGCGUAAAGGGUGCGUAGGCGGCCAGGUAAGUCAGAUGUGAAAGGCAUAGGCUCAACCUAUGUAAGCAUUUGAAACUGUCUGGCUUGAGUCGAGGAGAGGAAAGUGGAAUUCCUGGUGUAGCGGUGAAAUGCGUAGAUAUCAGGAGGAAUACCAGUGGCGAAGGCGACUUUCUGGACUUGGACUGACGCUGAGGCACGAAAGCGUGGGGAGCAAACAGGAUUAGAUACCCUGGUAGUCCACGCUGUAAACGAUGAGUGCUAGGUGUCGGGGAGUAAUCUUCGGUGCCGGAGUUAACACAAUAAGCACUCCGCCUGGGGAGUACGGUCGCAAGACUGAA